UGCAAGCUUUGUGUCUCCCAAGAUUGCAAUUGGAGUUUCGAUUCCGCUUGCCUCAGCUGGUUCUUACCGAGGCUGCAAGGCAACAAUGGAUCUGAAGGAGGGCGAG
rnacentral:sRNA from 17 species